UUCUGGGGGGUCUCUAAAUCGCAAUUUACUUUUGCGCUUGCCACGGCUGAUUACAAGAUGCUUUCCAAGCUUUUUCUGAUCGCUUUCCUGGCCGUAUGGUCUGUUGCUCUUUCCUUCACCGUAAGGUCUGGGAUCCAC
rnacentral:ribozyme from 1 species